UCAUAGAAGAAAUGGUUGUAGGGGACAACCUUGGUUUGAGCGAUCAUGAAGCUAAUUCAAUUCAAACUAAAUAGACGGAUCAACAAAAAUAGAUCUGUGACUAGGGUUUUUGAUUUCAAAAGGGCUAACUUAAAAAAAUUAAGGAAAUUUAGUUAGGGAAGUGGAUUGGACUGAAGAACUUGUGGAUCUAAAGGCAGAAGAGGCCUGGGAUUACUUUAAGUCAAAGCUGCAGAAGCUAUUGGAAGCCUGAAUCCCAAGAAAGUGGAAAAAAUUCAUGGGCAGGAAUUGUAGACCAAGCUGGAUAAGCAAGCAUCUCAGAGAG